rnacentral:rRNA from 1 species
UACGAAGGGGGCUAGCGUUGCUCGGAAUGACUGGGCGUAAAGGGCGCGUAGGCGGUUUGUACAGUCAGGUGUGAAAUCCCCCGGGCUCAACCUGGGAACUGCGUUGGAAACUACGAGGCUGGAGUACGGCAGAGGGGGUGGAAUUCCACGUGUAGCAGUGAAAUGCGUAGAUAUGUGGAGGAACACCGAUGGCGAAGGCAGCCCCCUGGGCUAGUACUGACGCUCAUGCACGAAAGCGUGGGGAGCAACAGG